rnacentral:rRNA from 1 species
GAUGAACGCUGGCGGCGUGCCUAAUACAUGCAAGUCGAGCGAACAGACGAGGAGCUUGCUCCUCUGACGUUAGCGGCGGACGGGUGAGUAACACGUGGAUAACCUACCUAUAAGACUGGGAUAACUUCGGGAAACCGGAGCUAAUACCGGAUAAUAUAUUGAACCGCAUGGUUCAAUAGUGAAAGACGGUUUUGCUGUCACUUAUAGAUGGAUCCGCGCCGCAUUAGCUAGUUGGUAAGGUAACGGCUUACCAAGGCAACGAUGCGUAGCCGACCUGAGAGGAUGAUCGGCCACACUGGAACUGAGACACGGUCCAGACUCCUACGGGAGGCAGCAGUAGGGAAUCUUCCGCAAUGGGCGAAAGCCUGACGGAGCAACGCCGCGUGAGUGAUGAAGGUCUUCGGGUCGUAAAACUCUGUUAUUAGGGAAGAACAAAUGUGUAAGUAACUAUGCACGUCUUGACGGUACCUAAUCAGAAAGCCACGGCUAACUACGUG